rnacentral:rRNA from 1 species
UACAGAGGGGGCAAGCGUUAUUCGGAAUUAUUGGGCGUAAAGGGCGCGUAGGCGGCCUGGCAAGUGGAAGGUGAAAUCCCUCGGCUUAACCGAGGAACUGCCCUCCAAACUGCUUGGCUUGAGUCCGGGAGAGGUGAGUGGAAUUCCCAGUGUAGCGGGUGAAAUUCGUAGAUAUUGGGUGGAACACCGGUGGCGAAAGCGGCUCACUGGCUCGGUUCUGACGCUGAGGCGGCGAAAGCGUGGGGAGCAAACAGG